rnacentral:rRNA from 1 species
CCCCUGGUAUUCCAGGGGGGCAUGCCUGUCUGAGCG